rnacentral:rRNA from 1 species
AGGGAAACCGAGUCUUAAUUGGGCGUUAAGUUGCAGGGUAUAGACCCGAAACCCGGUGAUCUAGCCAUGGGCAGGUUGAAGGUUGGGUAACACUAACUGGAGGACCGAACCGACUAAUGUUGAAAAAUUAGCGGAUGACCUGUGGCUGGGGGUGAAAGGCCAAUCAAACCGGGAGAUAGCUGGUUCUCCCCGAAAGCUAUUUAGGUAGCGCCUCGUGAACUCAUCUCCGGGGGUAGAGC